GAAAGGACGCACCGCUGGUGUACCAGUUGUUCUGCCAAGGGCAUCGCUGGGUAGCUAUGUGCGGACGGGAUAAGUGCUGAAAGCAUCUAAGCAUGAAGCCCCCC
rnacentral:rRNA from 1 species